rnacentral:lncRNA from 1 species
UGGUUGAUGGGUAUCCCACGAAUCAUGCUGAGGGACAUGAGUGACCUAGAUGGAAUUUGUCCCUCCUACAUAACGGGAGAUAUGUCUAUGGGCCCAAUAUUGAACUAGACAAGGAUGACAUACUAUGCCCUGUGUUCAAUAUAGACAUGAGGGCAAAAGGGUAAUUGUGCACAAGAUAUUUAUCACGGAAAGGUUAGUCAGAUCACGUGACAUUCCUGUGACUUGGGUAAUAGUGAUGUGUUGCUAGAUACCGCUCACUGUUUAUAAUAUUACGAUUAAUAUUAUUGCCAA